rnacentral:rRNA from 1 species
UACGUAGGAUCCAAGCGUUGUCCGGAUUUAUUGGGUUUAAAGGGUGCGCAGGCGGCCAGAUAAGUCAGUGGUGAAAGCCUACCGCUUAACGGUAGAAAUGCCAUUGAUACUGUUUGGCUUGAGUAUAGUUGAGGUUGGCGGAAUGUAUCAUGUAGCGGUGAAAUGCAUAGAUAUGAUACAGAACACCGAUUGCGAAGGCAGCUGACUAAGCUAUUACUGACGCUCAUGCACGAAAGCGUGGGGAUCAAACAGGAUUAGAUACCCUGGUAGUCCACGCUGUAAACGUUGAUAACUCGAUGUUGGCGAUAUAUGGUCAGCGUCUUAGCGAAAGCGUUAAGUUAUCCACCUGGGGAGUACGCUCGCAAGAGUGAA